rnacentral:rRNA from 1 species
CCUACGGGUGGCUGCAGUGAGGAAUAUUGGUCAAUGGGCGUAAGCCUGAACCAGCCAAGUCGCGUGAGGGAUGAAGGUUCUAUGGAUCGUAAACCUCUUUUAUAAGGGAAUAAAGUGCGGGACGUGUCCCGUUUUGUAUGUACCUUAUGAAUAAGGAUCGGCUAACUCCGUGCCAGCAGCCGCGGUAAUACGGAGGAUCCGAGCGUUAUCCGGAUUUAUUGGGUUUAAAGGGUGCGUAGGCGGCCUUUUCAGUCAGCGGUGAAAGUCUGUGGCUCAACCAUAGAAUUGCCGUUGAAACUGGGAGGCGUGAGGACAGUUGAGGGCGGGGGAAUGCGUGGUGUAGCGGUUAAAUGGUUAGAUAUCACG